rnacentral:misc_RNA from 1 species
AGAUUAUGUAUUCCUUCAAAUGUUGUAUGACCAAUUUCUUAGAAUAAAAAUUAAGCCUCAAAUUUUGACUCUAUAAAAUUCAAUUUUCAUUCAAAAUAGCAAUUCUAAACAAAAUUAUCAUCUUUUACAUGAAUCCCUCCAACACAAACUCCCUCCAACAAGGGGAAAAAUAUGAAAGCAAAAAUGGGGAAAGAUCUCCAAGGCUCUCGCUCAAGCUUCCCUGUUAUCUCUUUUGAAACCCCACUUCCCUGUUCAUCUCACUCAAGGGA